UAUCAGGCAGAGCUUGUGCUGAAUGACAAACUUAUGCAUUUCACUAAUGUUGAUGUUCAAGAUGUUAAGAAGCCAAAUCCAUUAAUGGAACUUUAAUGUUCAAUGUUGUGUCAAUGAUUCAAUAGUUCCCGUGCUUAUGUCAGGUACUAGAAAUUUAAUUUUCAACACUCAACUACCAUUCCUCGAAAUUGAAUAUCAAUCUAUAAUUAAGAAAAGUUAGUAGACCAAAAAUCCUGUUACACUCUAUUUGCUUCAUACUUAUUUUGAUUUGGUGUCAGUGAUAUAAACAUUCGACUAUUGGAUUCUUUGUUAACUACCGAUGAUGAUGUUAAAAUAGAGUUUUUCUUUCUCUAAUAAUACUACUUGUAGAAAGUUAAUAUUGAUUUUUUUUAGUUUUGGAUUUAAUUGAAUUUCAAUAUUACCUUCAUUUUCAAGCAAGUCUAAAGUUCUUUGCUUUGAAGUUUUUCUUUUCAGACUGUUGUCCAUAUGUCAAGGGCUGGCAAGGUUUUCCGUGUUGUAUCAAAUUAAACCACAAAUUCCUCUGCUUGUGCAGGCCCCAGUUAAUUCCCCUUUAGAGUUUCGGCCCAGGCCGAGUGUUUCCUGCGUUAGCUGGGACCUGCGCGUAGACCAAGGGUGAACACUCAUCCUUUAUGGCAUGGACUACCAGAGUGAUGGUAUUCAGUCCUGUUCGCUCACCAUGGUUUCGACCCCAGCCAUCUACGGGACUGCACCUUGAACUAAAUCAGUUUUCUCCAUAAAAUUUACAGUGAACGAGAUCGCGAGGUAUUACAUGAUGCUUUAGUGAUGAUUUCUCUAGGUUCUGUUGAAUAAGUUUUAUGGAAUGUACAACAUAAAUUUACCUAUGUUGAUGGUUCCCUGAGUUUCUGUGAAUAAAAAAAAAUUAUGUAUCAAUAGAAAUCACCUCUGAUGAGUUUUAUAU